rnacentral:rRNA from 1 species
GAUGAACGCUAGCGGGAGGCCUAACACAUGCAAGCCGAGCGGUAGAGUUUCUUCGGAAACUUGAGAGCGGCGCACGGGUGCGUAACACGUGUGCAACCUACCUUUAUCUGGGGGAUAGCCUUUCGAAAGGAAGAUUAAUACCCCAUAAUAUAAUGAUUGGCAUCAAUUAUUAUUGAAAACUCCGGUGGAUAGAGAUGGGCACGCGCAAGAUUAGAUAGUUGGUGAGGUAACGGCUCACCAAGUCAAUGAUCUUUAGGGGUCCUGAGAGGGAGAUCCCCCACACUGGUACUGGGACACGGACCAGACUCCUACGGGAGGCAGCAGUGAGGAAUAUUGGACAAUGGGUGAGAGCCUGAUCCAGCCAUCCCGCGUGAAGGAUGACGGUCCUAUGGAUUGUAAACUUCUUUUGUACAGGGAUAAACCUACCCUCGUGAGGGUAGCUGAAGGUACUGUACGAAUAAGCACCGGCUAACUCCGUG